AACUGAAUGCAGGGUGGUCAGCUAACAGCUAGCAGCCAAGCCUCCCAGUUGUGACUGUCAGUGGGUCUUUUUUGCAGCUGGAAUUUCUUAGCCUGUAUGUCUGGGAGGCUCUACCUGUCCCUGAAGCCAUCCAGAACACAGCUUCAUUUCUCUCAUGAAACAUCUGGAAUAAGCCCGUAUGGUUACAUUAACAAGAUGACUAUCUACACAAGAGACAAGGACUGUGCUUGGAAUGGAAGUCUGAUGACCCUAGUGUGGUGGAGCCACCUGUGGAGGGAGACUGCCAACAAGUGAGGCUGAGUCAAGGCUGAGGUGCCCAGAAACUCUGUCCUGGGCAGUGACAGUGGCUUCGUGAAAUGGCUGUAUGAGCAGACCAUGCUGUGGCUUUGAGAGCCGGGUGGGAUCCACAUCCGCAGAUGUACACUGAAGUGGAAGUGAUCUGGAAGGUAGAUGCCCAGCACAGGGGGUGACUGGUUUGUUUCUGUUCCUGGGAUGAUGAUGUGUUUCUGACUAUUCUCACGUUUCUCUUCACAUUACUUCUGUGGUCAUCAGAGGAGAGGACCAAGCGCUGGACAGUGUCAGUUACCUACUUCUGAUGCUGCGGUCAUAAUGACAGAUGAACUGUCAUUGUGGCAUCUUCCAAAACAAAGGGUUGGAUGAGUGGAAGAACUGUAGCAAGAUCCGAUUGUGCAACAAGCUGGAGUCUCUGGGUGUGGCAGGAGAAGAUCAUCUCAGCCGGUGGUUUCUGAGAGCUACAUGUACUUACUCAGACGUGUGGGAAUCCACCUUUGCCCUUGAGAAACUAUGCACAGAUAUGGGGUAUGGACAGCAAAGAGAAGGCAUUUGUUUAAGCAGAUUUGGGUGCGCAAUGCAUUUCAGAGAGAAUGAUGGAGGCACUGUAAGAAGACCCACAAGGAAGGCAUUUACUAGGAAAGGACUGAGAGGGCAGCAGAGGAGGGAAGGGUGUGGCCUGGAUGUCAGCACCCCAGUGAGAAGACGGUCCUCUCCUCUCUGUCAGCAACAGUCAUUCUUUCAGGUCAGAGUCUGGUGAAAAUCCACCAUAGCAGUGUGGUAGCAGUUGUAGCAGCUUACGACAACUUGUUCACAAUGGACCUGCAAUCAAGGAGCACAGGAGGGACUCUAAAGGUCCCUUUUAAUAAAUGUUAUAUGAUAGUCACAAAGACUAUGUUUGACAGGCUGUGCCUCAGUCCUGAUGUGGCUGCAUGUCUCAGGCUGAUGUUUCAAUAAGAAUGACUUCAUCUUCCCGUGGCAAGUCUGAGAAGAAUGUUAUAGCUAUCCCACAGGACCAUCAGAAGAAUCCGAGGCAGCUCAUGGGAAAAACACACAAGAGAUUCAACAGCCCUAGGAGGAUGACCUGAUGACCCCAAGUCUACCUGCAAGCUUCUGCGGUGAGUGUUAUGUUUAAGCAGAGGAAGAAGAGUGGCAGGGUGUAACAGGGGAGGAAACACACUACCAGCCAAUGUCCAGCAGAGGAAUGCCCCCAGUAAGAAUCUUGGAAGAAGAAAACCAACAUCAGCUGGAAAGUCUAAGUAAGGCUCAGGGUGAGCUGAGGUCUCAGGAAUGUGAUAAAUACAUACAGAAUGAUGCCUGUAUGUGUUGUUGACUUGGCAUUGAAACAAACUGAAGACUCUGGACACGGCACUGCCUGGCUCUGUCUGCAACCUCCACUUUUAUCACUUUGUGGCUACAUGCCACUUUCAGGAGGGAAUUCUGCAUUUGGCUCUGAAGCUUUUCUCUUAUGUCACAAGUCUGUGUGCUUUCAGGGACCACUUCAAAUGCUCACAA
rnacentral:lncRNA from 1 species